UACAGAGGGUGCAAGCGUUGUUCGGAAUUAUUGGGCGUAAAGAGCUCGUAGGCGGUCUGUCGCGUCGAUCGUGAAAACUUGGGGCUUAACCCUGAGCUUGCGGUCGAUACGGGCAUGACUGGAGUUCGGCAGGGGAGACUGGAAUUCCUGGUGUAGCGGUGAAAUGCGCAGAUAUCAGGAGGAACACCGGUGGCGAAGGCGGGUCUCUGGGCCGAUACUGACGCUGAGGAGCGAAAGCGUGGGGAGCGAACAGG
rnacentral:rRNA from 1 species